rnacentral:rRNA from 1 species
CGUAGGAGAGUGGCCGGACCCGGGCCGGCGGACGGGUGAGUAACACGUACUCACCUGCCGAUAACUCGGGGAUAGCCUUUCGAAAGAAAGAUUAAUACCCGAUGGCAUAAUAGAACCGCAUGGUUUGAUUAUUAAAGAAUUUCGGUUAUCGAUGGGGAUGCGUUCCAUUAGGCAGUUGGUGGGGUAACGGCCCACCAAACCUUCGAUGGAUAGGGGUUCUGAGAGGAAGGUCCCCCACAUUGGAACUGAGACACGGUCCAA